UCGGGUCGUACUGGCGUCAUUGGUUUCUCCUUUCUGACGAACCAUGAUGUCAUUAAUUUGGUGUUAUGGGGAGUUAGGACUGUUACUUUGAAAAAAUUAAAGUGUUUAAAGCAGGCAUUAGCUUGAAUACAUUAGCAUGGAAUAAUGAAAUAGGACGUUCGAUCCUAUUUUGUUGGUUUCUAGGAUCAACGUAAUGAUUAAUAGGGAUAGUUGGGGGCAUUAGUAUUCAAUUGUCAGAGGUGAAAUUCUUGGAUUUAUUGAAGACUAACUACUGCGAAAGCAUUUGCCAAGGAUGUUUUCAUUAAUCAAGAACGAAAGUUAGGGGAUCGAAGACGGUCAGAUACCGUCGUAGUCUUAACCAUAAACUAUGCCGACAAGGGAUCGGAUGAUGUUAAUUUUUUAAUGACUCAUUCAGCGCCUUACG
rnacentral:rRNA from 1 species